rnacentral:rRNA from 1 species
UACGUAGGUGGCAAGCGUUGUCCGGAUUUACUGGGCGUAAAGAGCGCGCAGGCGGUCGUUCAAGUCGAGUGUGAAAGCCCCCGGCUCAACUGGGGAGGGUCACUCGAUACUGAUCGACUCGAAGGCAGAAGAGGGAAGCGGAAUUCCCGGUGUAGUGGUGUAAUGCGUAGAUAUCGGGAGGAACACCAGUGGCGAAGGCGGCUUUCUGGUCUGCUCUUGACGCUGAGGCGCGAAAGCUAGGGUAGCAAACGGG